GAAAUGCGAUAAGUAAUGUGAAUUGCAGAAUUCAGUGAAUCAUCGAAUCUUUGAACGCACAUUGCGCCCGCCAGUAUUCUGGCGGGCAUGCCUGUUCGAGCGUCAUUACAACCCUCAGGCCCCCGGGCCUGGCGUUGGGGAUCGGCGGAAGCCCCCUGCGGGCACAACGCCGUCCCCCAAAUACAGUGGCGGUCCCGCCGCAGCUUCCAUUGCGUAGUAGCUAACACCUCGCAACUGGAGAGCGGCGCGGCCACGCCGUAAAACACCCAACUUCUGAAUGUUGACCUCGAAUCAAGUAGGAAUACCCGCUGAACUUAAGC
rnacentral:misc_RNA from 1 species